UGGAUGAUGUGGUUUAAUUCGAUGCAACGCGAAAGACCUUACCCACCUUUGACAUGGCAGGAAUCCCGAAGAGAUUUGGGAGUGCUCGAAAGAGAACCUGCACACAGGUGCUGCAUGGCUGUCGUCAGCUCGUGUCGUGAGAUGUUGGGUUAAGUCCCGCAACGAGCGCAACCCUUGUCAUUAGUUGCUACAUUCAGUUGGGCACUCUAAUGAGACUGCCGGUGACAAACCGGAGGAAGUGGGGAUGACGUCAAGUCCUCAUGGCCCUUAUAGGUGGGGCUACACACGUCAUACAAUGGAUGGUACAAAGGGUCGCCAACCCGCGAGGGGGAGCCAAUCCCAUAAAGCCAUUCGUAGUCCGGAUCGCAGUCUGCAACUCGACUGCGUGAAGUCGGAAUCGCUAGUAAUCGUGGAUCAGAAUGUCACGGUGAAUACGUUCCCGGGUCUU
rnacentral:rRNA from 1 species